rnacentral:lncRNA from 1 species
CCUACCUACACCCAGGGACGUCACACAAGCUCUGGAGUCAGCCACAGCCACACACUGCAUGCCACAGAGCUCAUCUCUGAACUCAUCGUCCAACGCCAUGACCCAGCUCCCCCGACCUGACCCGACGCCCCAUUGCUGAAAGCAGGGACCUCCAUCUUGGGCCACCUUCGCCCCAUCAUCAGUGGGGGCGACUCCCAGUGUGGAACUCCGGCUGGCCAGGUACCCAGUUUCUAACUCCCCUCUCUCCCCACAGAGGAUACCCUGACCCAGUGACACCCUGGUUACCUUCUCCAUCCUGAGGCUAAAGAUACCAACUAACAACAGAUGACCACACCUGCUGGAUGGGAAGGGCAGCAGGAAGGACUCUGCUCUCCAACCAAAACAGGCCCUGCUUCUCCCUUCAGGACUUACCCUCCCACUCCAUCUCCCGCCCUCCAGGCCCAGCUUAUGUGAGACCAAGUACUUGUGUGAAUCAGGGUUUGAGGACUGGGACAUCUGCAUGGUCUAUUACAGUUGUGUUGUAAGUUCUUUUUGUUUAUUUUCCUUUUUUUUCUUUUUUUUCCCACCAAUUUCUACUAUUUUUAACAUUUUUUAUUUUUCUUAAUAUGUAUGUGUGUUUGUUUUACAAACUCUACUGUCUUCCCACUUAUUUGUCUGCCCCAAAUAACUUCCUCUCUCUUCUCCUGCUACUAAUCUUUCUCUUUAGAUCUCUCUUUCAUGCUUCCUAAGCUAUAAUAACUCUAUACAACCUCCUACCUCCUCAGAAUAUCCUCCUACUCCUCAGCCCUGGUCCUCUGUCCAUCAUCAGAAACUGUAAACCCUUUACAAACCUACUGAGCAUAUUGUAGGUAAUAACUGAAUUCACCAUUUCUGAACAUUGUGAGCAAACUGUAAAAGUCAUAAUGUAGGACCUCAAGACCCAGGCCCAGCAUUAGGUGACCAAACCCCUAGGCCUCAAAGCUGCAAGACGCUUCCUCACCCAACCCCCAUGUCAAAACCCCUCCAGCAGCACGUAGCACCUCAGGUGUUGCACAAUGUUACCACAAGAUGUUCCAUGUAGAUAACCCUAACGGGCCCCCUACCACAAGAUGUUCCUCUUAGACAGCCCUACUGGUUAAACUUGAGAACUAGGUUUAAAAACAGAAACUGAAAAGACAGGAUGUAAUUUUAGGGUUUUUCCGAGAGCAUGAAGUGAAAAAACAAGUUUACCCCCUAGGCGACCCAGUGGCUGGAUUCAGAGGAACCAAUAGAAAGGCUGUUGCUGUGCUAAGCUAAGAACUAAC